rnacentral:rRNA from 1 species
UGCCGCGUGUGUGAAGAAGGCCUUCGGGUUGUAAAGCACUUUUGUCCGGAAAGAAAUCCUUGGUUCUAAUAUGGCCGGGGGAUGACGGUACCGGAAGAAUAAGCACCGGCUAACUACGUGCCAGCAGCCGCGGUAAUACGUAGGGUGCAAGCGUUAAUCGGAAUUACUGGGCGUAAAGCGUGCGCAGGCGGUUUGUUAAGACCGAUGUGAAAUCCCCGGGCUCAACCUGGGAACUGCAUUGGUGACUGGAAAGCUAGAGUAUGGCAGAGGGGGGUAGAAUUCCACGUGUAGCAGUGAAAUGCGUAGAGAUGUGGAGGAAUACCGAUGGCGAA